GUGGGGAAUAUUGGACAAUGGGGGGAACCCUGAUCCAGCCAUGCCGCGUGUGUGAAGAAGGCCUUUUGGUUGUAAAGCACUUUAAGCGAGGAGGAGGCUACCGAGAUUAAUACUCUUGGAUAGUGGACGUUACUCGCAGAAUAAGCACCGGCUAACUCUGUGCCAGCAGCCGCGGUAAUACAGAGGGUGCAAGCGUUAAUCGGAUUUACUGGGCGUAAAGCGCGCGUAGGUGGCCAAUUAAGUCAAAUGUGAAAUCCCCGAGCUUAACUUGGGAAUUGCAUUCGAAACUGGUGGGCUAGAGUAUGGGAGAGGAUGGUAGAAUUCCAGGUGUAGCGGUGAAAUGCGUAGAGAUCUGGAGGAAUACCGAUGGCGAAGGCAGCCAUCUGGCCUAAUACUGACACUGAGGUGCGAAAGCAUGGGGAGCAAACAGGAUUAGAAACCCUGGUAGUCC
rnacentral:rRNA from 1 species